UAUAUCACAUCAAAACAGUAUACAAUCUGUUACAGAACUGACAGGACUUGUAGUAUAAAUAUUGUAAGAGUAUACUAAUCAAAACCAAACUGAUUAAAUCAUAAAGCUUUGUCCUAGACAACAAGACAGAACCUUUUUAAACCUCAUAAAUAACUUAACAGACACAUAACAAAUUAUUGAUAGCACCCAGCCCUACCUCCACGUCCACCUCCACCACACACAUUAAAGCAGCUCAAUAGAAAGAACAUGGAGUUAUGCAGCUAAGAAGAAGGCGCAGCAACAUUGUCAUCACCAUUUUCCGGGUUGAUCUUUUUAUUUUUGUUGUUAAAAGGCGCGGUAGCUGAUUGAGCAAGGCGCUCACCCACCAUGGUUAUGACAUGUUUCCGUGGAGGAAGUACCAAGCUUUCAUUCUUUUUCUUGUUCCCACCACUGCUUGAACCACCGUCUUUGCCAGCCAUAAAUUGAGGGGAACUCUUCGUGUGAACUUGGAUGAGCUAGGUUUAAACUAAGAUAGCCCUACACCACCAGUUGUGGGACAAAAUUAAUUAAAGGUAUGUAACGGUGAGAUUUUCACCAGGUUUCUUCAACGAAAGUACGUAGUAAUUAGCAAAUUGAUAUUAAGGUGCAUUUGCUAAAUCACACAGUAUGUUUGCCGUCCUAAUAGUUUGAUCAGUGUUAAUUUGUUAUGUUUAAUUGGUUUGAGCUCAAUUUGUUUUUAUUCAUGGCCGUGUGUGGGAUUGUGUGGGAUGACAAAGAUUUAGCUAUGUGUGACUUGCUGUGGUUCAAGUGCUGCAAUGCAUGAUGUGAGUGAUGUAGCCUGCAAGUGUGGGAUGGUGUUGGACUUGGCAGUAUUGCAGAUGUGCUUCUCAAGCAGCACCAAAAAGGAAACAGCUAGUGAAAUGUCCUCAGAAUUGCUGGGUUAUGAUAGAACCAAAAAGUUUUUACUGUGUCAAGUUGUUGAAACUUGCUAUGAUAUUUAUUUGCUAUGUAAUCGGUCUGCGCCAAAAAAGCAAAAGACUUAAAAGAAAUAUAUGAAAUAUAAUUCGAACAAGGAAUAAUUGGCUAGUAUAUUAUUUUAUUAAUACA